AUUGAACGCUGGCGGCAUGCCUUACACAUGCAAGUCGAACGGCAGCAUGGGUGCUUGCACCUGAUGGCGAGUGGCGAACGGGUGAGUAAUGCAUCGGAGCGUACCCGGAAGUGGGGGAUAACGUAGCGAAAGUUACGCUAAUACCGCAUAUUCUGUGAGCAGGAAAGCGGGGGAUCGCAAGACCUCGCGCUUCCGGAGCGGCCGAUGUCGGAUUAGCUAGUUGGCGGGGUAAAGGCCCACCAAGGCAACGAUCCGUAGCGGGUCUGAGAGGAUGAUGCGCCACACUGGGACUGAGACACGGCCCAGACUCCUACGGGAGGCAGCAGUGGGGAAUUUUGGACAAUGGGGGCAACCCUGAUCCAGCCAUGCCGCGUGAGUGAAGAAGGCCUUCGGGUUGUAAAGCACUUUAGUUGGGGAAGAGAUUACAGAGUUUAAGAGAUACUGUAUGAGACAUGAACCAAAGAAUAAGCACCGGCUAACUCCGUGCCAGCAGCCGCCGUAAUAC
rnacentral:rRNA from 1 species